UCCCUGGUGGCUCAGAUGGUAGAGAAUCUGCCUACAAUGCAGGAGACCCAGGUUCGAUCCCUGGGUUGGGAA
rnacentral:tRNA from 1 species